GGUGGCCUAGUGGUUAGAGCAUCCGCUUCGGAUGUGGGUGGUCGCGGGUUCGAAACCCUGCCAAGUCA